GGUUCUUUCUCCAGGACCAUGUCCUUGCUGCUCCCAGGUACUCCUCCUGCUCCCCUACACUCACUGUUGGCUGCCUUGGACUCGAGGCUGAGCUCUCUGCUGUGCCACAGAAGGCAGAGGCCAGGUGUGAGGUGCUGCUGCAUCCCUGUGUGCUCGUGGGGCUUUGGGGCACUGCAGUUGGGCUGAGGCUGCGUUGCCCUGCAGGCACAGCACAGCUGGAAGGCGAUCGCUCCUGUGCUGCGCGGCUGGCACGCUUCUCACCAUGAAUAUUGCAUUGAGGGAAGAGGAAUUGAGGAAGGGCUCUCGGCGCUCUUACACUUUCCAUAGAUGUUGCAGAGGAUCCAUUACUGCCCGUGAAAGCCCUGUCAACAUUUUUCCAAGGAAGAAUGAAAAUCAGCAAAGCCAAACCCUCCCUGCCGCAGAACGCGUGCAUGUGGUCCUGCAGGCUGCAGCGGUGACCCAGCCUGCCCUGGCCGCACAGACCCACAGCUCCUAUGUGGGACACUGUGGGGAGCCUCCAGGCAGUGAGCUCAGAGCUUUGUUGAGGGCAGCCCUGCCUGGUGCUGCUGUGCUUUUGCUGAGACAUGGCAAGGGAGAGGCUGCUGAGAGUCCUGGAGUGCUUUGCUUUGCUUGGCUCAAUGCAUCUCCUCCUGAGAGCAACUCUGCAGCCUAACUCCUUACUGCCUCUUUGCAAUAACCACCAACUAAUUACUUAAAGCCUGCCAGAUGAGGAUUAACAGCCAUGUAAUACACUAGGUAUGAUUUAUCUUCAAUAAAUAUGUCCUU
rnacentral:lncRNA from 7 species